rnacentral:rRNA from 1 species
CUCUUGGUCAUUUAGAGGGAAGUAAAAGUCGUAACAAGGUUUCCGUAGGUGAACCUGCGGAAGGAUCAUUACCGAAUUGUCAAACGGGUUGUUGCUGGUCUUCAAACGGGGACAUGUGCACGCUCUGUUUACACAUCCACUCACACCUGUGCACCCUCCGUAGUUCUAUGGUCUGGGGGACCCUGUCUUCCUGCCAUGGUUCUACGUCUUUACACACACUCUGUAAUAAAGUCUUAUGGAAUGUAUGCCGCGUCUAACGCAAUACAAUACAACUUUCAGCAACGGAUCUCUUGGCUCUCGCAUCGAUGAAGAACGCAGCGAAAUGCGAUAAGNAAUGUGAAUUGCAGAAUUCAGUGAAUCAUCGAAUCUUUGAACGCACCUUGCGCCCCUUGGCUAUUCCGAGGGGCAUGCCUGUUUGAGUAUCAUGAACACCUCAACUCUCAUGGUUCGCCAUGAUGAGCUUGGACUCUGGGGGUUUUGCUGGCCCGCGGUCGGCUCCCCUCAAAUGAAUCAGCCUCCCAGUGUUUGGUGGCAUCACGGGUGUGAUAAAUAUCUACGCUCGCGGUUGUCUGCCAGGUAACCUUUGGUGACAAAGGUUUGCUGGAGCUCACAGAUGUCUCUCCUCGGUGAGGACAGCUUUUUUGAACGUUCGAUCUCAAAUCAGGUAGGACUACCCGCUGAACUUAAGCAUAUCAAUAAG